rnacentral:rRNA from 1 species
AGAACGAACGCUGGCGGCACGCCUAACACAUGCAAGUCGAGCGCCCAGCAAUGGGAGCGGCGGACGGGUGAGGAACACGUGGGAACAUGCCUUUCGGUUCGGCACAACUGCGGGAAACUGCAGCUAAUUCCGGAUACGCCCUUACGGGGAAAGAUUUAUCGCCGAAAGAUUGGCCCGCGUCUGAUUAGCUAGUUGGUGAGGUAAUGGCUCACCAAGGCUUCGAUCAGUAGCUGGUUUGAGAGAACGACCAGCCACACUGGGACUGAGACACGGCCCAGACUCCUACGGGAGGCAGCAGUGGGGAAUCUUGGACAAUGGAGGAAACUCUGAUCCAGCGAUGCCGCGUGAGUGAUGAAGGCCUUCGGGUUGUAAAACUCUUUUACCAGGGAAGAUAAUGACUGUACCUGGAGAAUAAGCCCGGCUAACUUCGCGCCAGCAGCCGC